GGGUCAGUAGGUUGGUCGUGCCCCCGGUACGUACUGGUCUCACUGAUUCCUCCUUCCUGAAGAACCGUAAUGCCAUUAAUUUGGUGGUGCGGGGAAACAGGACUGUUACUUUGAAAAAAUUAGAGUGUUUAAAGCAAGCUAACGCUUGAAUACAUUAGCAUGGAAUAAUGAAAUAGGACGAUCGAUCCUAUUUUGUUGGUUUCUAGGAUUGACGUA
rnacentral:rRNA from 1 species